rnacentral:rRNA from 1 species
GACGAACCGUGCAAACGUUAUUCGGAAUAACUGGGCUUAAAGCGCGCGUAGGCGGCGUCGCAAGUCGGUGGUGAAAUCCCAACGGCUCAACCGUGGAAUAGCCAUCGAUACUGCGAUGCUCGAGGGAGGUAGGGGCAUGUGGAACUUCCAGUGGAGCGGUGAAAUGUGUUGAGAUUGGAAGGAACGCCGGUGGCGAAAGCGACAUGCUGGAUCUCUUCUGACGCUGAGGCGCGAAAGCUAGGGUAGCGAACGGG